GAUGAAGAACGUAGUGAAAUGCAAUAAGUAAUGUGAAUUGCAGAAUUCAGUGAAUCAUCGAAUCUUUGAACGCAUCUUGCGCUCCUAGGUAUUCUGAGGUGCAUGCCUGUUUGAGUGUCAUUAAAUUCUCAACCGCACUGACUUUGAAUUGGUGUGGCUUGGAUUUGGGGGGAAAAUUGUUGUGGGCUUUUUUGUAUAGUCUGCUCCCCUGAAAUUGAUUAGCGGUACCUUUGUGGAACUGUCUACAGGUGUGAUAAUUAUCUACAUCCUAGACAUCUGCUGGAAUGCUGCUUUCUAAACCUUACUUGUAUUGACAAUCUUGACCUCAAAUCAGGUAGGACUACCCGCUGAACUUAAGCAUAUCAAUAAGCGGAGGA
rnacentral:misc_RNA from 1 species